GGGCCUGUAGCUCAGCUGGUUAGAGCACACGCUUGAUAAGCGUGGGGUCAGUAGUUCAAAUCUACUCAGGCCCACCA
rnacentral:tRNA from 8 species